rnacentral:rRNA from 1 species
GACGAACGCUGGCGGCGUGCUUAACACAUGCAAGUCGAACGGAAAGGCCCUGCUUUUGUGGGGUGCUCGAGUGGCGAACGGGUGAGUAACACGUGAGUAACCUGCCCUUGACUUUGGGAUAACUUCAGGAAACUGGGGCUAAUACCGGAUAGGAGCUCCUGCUGCAUGGUGGGGGUUGGAAAGUUUCGGCGGUGGGGGAUGGACUCGCGGCUUAUCAGCUUGUUGGUGGGGUAGUGGCUUACCAAGGCUUUGGCGGGUAGCCGGCCUGAGAGGGUGACAGGCCACAUUGGGACUGAGAUACGGCCCAGACUCCUACGGGAGGCAGCAGUGUGGAAUAUUGCACAAUGGGCGGAAGCCUGAUGCAGCAACGCCGCGUGCGGGAUGACGGCCUUCGGGUUGUAAACCGCUUUCGCCUGUGACGAAGCGGGAGUGACGGUAAUGGGUAAAGAAGCACCGGCUAACUACGUG